CGAGUUUGAUCCUGGCUCAGGAUGAACGCUGGCGGCGUGUCUAAGGCAUGCAAGUCGAACGAUAUAGUGGCAAACGGGAGCGUAUGACAGUGGGACCUACCUUGAAGACGAGGACAACCAUUAGAAAUGAUGGCUAAUACUCGAUAGUCUUCAAUCGCAAGAUUGGAGUAAAGAUUUAUCGCUUCGAGAGGGACCUUUGGCCUAUCAGCUUGUUGGUGAGGUAAUGGCUCACCAAGGCAACGACGGGUAGCGGGUGUGAAAGCAUGACCCGCCUCACUGGGACUGAGACACUGCCCAGACACCUACGGGUGGCUGCAGUCAAGAAUCUUCCCCAAUGGACGAAAGUCUGAGGGAGCGACGCCGCGUGCAGGAAGAAGCUUUUCGGAGUGUAAACUGCUUUUAUGUGAGAAAAAUUUGUGAUGGUAUCACAUGAAUAAGGGGCUGCUAACUCUGUG
rnacentral:rRNA from 1 species